AUUGAACGCUGGCGGCAGGCCUAACACAUGCAAGUCGAGCGGAGCGGCAGACGGGUGAGUGCUGCCUAGGAAUCUGCCUGGUAGUGUGGGAUAACGUCCGGAAACGGGCGCUAAUACCGCAUACUAUCAGAUGAUCCUAGGUCGGAUUAGGUAGUUGGUGGGGUAAAGGCCUACCAAGGCGGCGAUCCGUAACUGGUCUGAGAGGCUGAUCAGUCACACUGGAACUGUGAAACGGUCCAGACUCCUACGGGAGGCAGCAGUGGGGAAUAUUGGACAAGGGGCGAAAGCCUGAUCCAGCCAUGCCGCGUGUGUGAAGAAGGUCUUCGGAUUGUAAAGCACUUUAAGUUGGGAGGCGUUACCAACAGAAUAAGCACCGGCUAACUUCGUGCCAGCAGCCGCGGUAAUUC
rnacentral:rRNA from 1 species